rnacentral:lncRNA from 1 species
CUUUCGGCGCGCCGCCGCCCGGCGCCGCGGGACUGGGAGACCGGAGUCAACUUUUAUAACACUGUUACUGGGAAUACUUGACUUACUAAGCUUUUACUGAACACUUUAAUUUUGGGAGUACAAUUUCUAAACUCACGAAAUAAUCUUCAUGCAACAAGAUGUUAUUUUAUCAAAUUUUGGUAUUACAUGCUCAUUCUUUGACAAAUUUUAAUUAACAGGUAAGUUAUACAUCUUUAAAUUUAUAUAAUUAAUAAUCAUUUUUUAUUUCUAGAACUGAGGUCAGGGGUAGUUAGCUAUCUAAAAAGCAACAACUGGGUUUUAUUUUAUAUGCAUUGUUAAUCGUGGCAUUUUGCUGUGGAAGGGGCAUUUGCAUUAGAUUUAACUUAAUCUUGUGAAAAUCUAAACAUAUUUAAGCAAAGUUUAGGGAAAAUAAACUUGAGAUACUACAUAUAAUUUGAUUUAGAAGCUUUUUAAUCCUGAAUAAGGAAGGAAUACACAGAAAGUCAAGGAAAAAUUCUAUGUAAUAGUUGUGAUACUCAAGCUGAAAAUAGUCUGAUCCAGCAGCCUAAAAGAAUGACCUCCUCACUGGUUGAGCAUACUUCAGUGUCAUGAAAUGAAGAGGACGGGAAAAGGUGUCUGUGCAUCUUUGUUUGAAGACUGUACUAGGUAUAGUGUACUUGCAUGUUAACUCAAAUACUAGGCUAAAAAGUUUGUAUUAUUAUUCCUCUUUUAAAGAUGAGGAAACUGAAAUUUUAAAAGCAGGUGACUUGUCUGUGGUUAGAAGAAAUAUAUGCAGAAUUGUGAUUUAUGCCCAGAAUAUCUGACUCCAAGACCUAAAUUCUUUCUGCCAUAUCAUAUGCUUUCUACUUAUCUUUUGUUUGUUUGUUUUUUAUUCCAUUUUCCCCCCUUUGAACUGUGUUGGAAGUUUUCUGUUCUAUUUCUUUUUUUCUCUAUGGUUACCGUAGAAAUGUUAAUAUGCAUACUUAACAAAGUCUAAAUAAAUGUAAAUGCAAUCUUUAUCCUUCUCCUGAACCUCCUUCUGAUAAGAACUAUUUUUAUCAGACAUUAUAGUUUUGGGACUUGAUCUUUCAGCCCCAGAAAUAACAGUGUUUAUAUUUACCCAUAUGCAUUUAACCUUUUUUCCCUUGACCAUUCCUUCAUGUGUAUCGAUUGUAAGCUGAAAUGUUUUUUAAUUUACUCCCUCAGGAGCUUUAUGUGAGAUGGUCUUUGCUCAGGCUCUCCAUUUCGUACAGGCCCUCAAGUUUUGCUGCCUAUUACCCUAUUUUCUAUAGCUCCCCUCCCCAUCAGGUUCAUUCCACCAGGAAUAUGUAGAUUCCCCAGGGGCACAUUCGCUUUAGCACUAACUCACCUCUCUAGACUUGUACUUUUUAAAAAAUUAUUUCUGCCCUUGGAGCAUUUCUCUUACUUUAUUGUUGGCUCUUCUAUACAUUAAAAAAAAAUUUUAAGUACUUAAAUACAACAAUUUUUGGUGAUCUCCAGCCAUGGGGCUGCAUUGCCAGAAAUAAAAGUCCACAUUGUCAUUGUGCUUCAUGGGAGUAUUUUGUAUUGAACAUGUGGGCUGGGGGAUGGGUAGAGGAUGUUUUUAAAUUUAUUUUAAAAUAAGUUCCUAGAAACUGAUGAAACUCUUUCAUUUAGAGUCAUAAGAAAUAAACUAUUUGUUUGAUGAAGAAGCAACAGAGGACUUCCAAAAAGCACUUUUGAAAACUCCCCUUACUGAAGGUUUAUAUUAACUGCCCUCUAGAGGAAGAAAAAAAUCUGAGAAAGAUCUUUUAAUAGGACAUUAAGUAUUGUUUUCCCUUGCACCUUUUUCUAAGAUAAACAAGAACCAAGGAUUACUUGCUCUGUGCAUGGGAUGCCAUGUUGUAAAGUUUAGGUAGCAGAUGCUCUAAGAAAAUUUAUAAAAUUAAGGCUGAAAUUACCAUGAAAAUGCCAAAACAUCUUUGUAUUGGAAUUUUACAAAAUUUGUUCUUAGGACUUAACUUCUUAAAACGUAUCAGUUUUCAAAGAGAUGGUAACUUUACUUCAUCAGUUCUCUUUGAAUGUUUUUUUUUUUUUCAUGAGAUAGAGUCCUACUCUGUUGCCCAGGCUGGAGUGCAGUGGCACGAUCUCGGCUCACUGCAACCUCUGCCUUCCCAGGUUCUAGCGAUUCUUCUGCCUCUUGAGUAGCUGGGAUUACAGGCGUGCACCACCAUGCCUGGCUAAUUUUUUGUAUUUUUAGUAGAGAUGGGGGUCUCACCAUGUUGGCCAGCCUGGUCUUGAACUCCUGACCUCAGGUGAGCCACCCACCUCAGCCUUCCAAAGUGCUAGGAUUACAGGCAUUAGCUACUGUGCCCAGCCAAGAAAUAGAAAAUAACUUUAGAGCAGUAUUUUCUAUAUUCUAUAUUUUUUCAUAUAUUCUUAUAUGAUUACCUGCAUAGGAUACAUGUGUUGUGUUUUGCUUUGCUUACCUGAUAAAACACUGUUAAAAAUAAUAUUUUAAUUGAAAAGAUGCUUAACCCACAUUUUUUAAUGGGUUAAGGUUAAUGUUUUGUGGGUUUUUUUUAGCAGAUGGUAUUGAUUUAGUGUUUUUGGCAAUAAUUUUGUUAGCACUGAUAGAAAAGAUGAGGAUUUGAAAGGAAACAAUUGCUUGCUUUGUAAGUUGUGAUGUUCAGUAAUGACUAAGUACAUUCAUUUGCACAGCCAGUACAAACUCCAGAUGAUUUUUUCCCUGCCUGUUCCUUAAGUGGGUCAUGUGAUUUGGUGUUUAUCACUGACUUGAAUAUCUUCAAGUUUUACAAACCACAUAACUUGACCAUGAAAUCAAGCAGUUCUUUCAAAGGACUCUUUGAAAGUAGAUUUUAUUUUUUUGGGGGGGUCAUUUCAAUGAAAAGAAGAUUAUGCAAUUUGUGUAUGGGUUUUGGAACUUUUCUCCCUUCCUUUCCUUCUUUUUAUUUCAUCUUUCUUUCCUGACUUCUUUCUUCCUUCCGUCCUUCCUUCCACCUUCCUUUUUUUUUUGAGACAGCGUCUCGCCCUGUCACCCAGGCUGGAGUGCCGUGGCCCGAUCUCGGCUCCCUGCAAUCUCCACCUCCCAGGUUCAAGCGAUUCUCCUUCCUCAGCCUCCUGAUUAGCUGGGACUAUAGGCGCGUGUCACCAUGCCCGGCUACUUUUUUGUAUUUUUAGUAGAGACAAGGUUUAGUUAUGUUGGUCAGGCUGGUCUCGAACUCCUGACUUCAAGUGAUCCACCUGCCUCGGUCUCCCAAAGUGCUGGGAUUACAGGCGUGAGCCACUGUGCCUGGCUCCUUCCACCCUCUUUAAAACAAGUUUCAAUGCAGAGAUUUCUGUGGUACUUUUUGGUUGGUCUUCCCAACACAGUCUCUGCCAUUAGCAGUUAGCUUUUAGCGAGGCUGAUAGGCCAUUCAUUUAUUUUAUAAAAUCAAUUUUUGUGUAUGGUAUUUGGUGGCCGUCUUUCAGAGAUGACAGUGACUCAAGUGUCUGUGAGAUUGUGACUGCUGCAUUUUAUUUAGAUCUGGUCUUUUUUGUUUUAGGGAUAAUGGGAAAGGAGCCUAAUCCUUAAAGAAUGGUAUCUAAAUUUGUGAAGAACCUGCCUAAAUUGUUAUGGUGGCACAUGUGACUGAUGGAUCUUUUGGAUUUGAAUGCCUGUAAUGUUUUAAAUAUAUGUUUACUAU